rnacentral:lncRNA from 1 species
AAUUGUCCAAGACAGCCGACACCUGAUCAACCUCUACCAACACCAACUUUUCCACCAAUUAAAACAACUGCAGCUAAUAUUACUGUCUCACCACUUCCAUCAACAAUUCAGAAUGGAACAAUUACACCAUCAAACAUAAGAACUCCGAAACCCCU